rnacentral:rRNA from 1 species
UUUUAUGUGGGUGCCACUACAUUUUUAGCUGUCUUGGCUAAUUUCAGAAACUAAGUAGAGUUGGGCCUGGUUAGCAUUUGGAUGGGUCACUGACUGUUAGCAACACUGAAAUGUAAAAA